rnacentral:lncRNA from 1 species
UUCUCCAACUGUUUUAGAGUUGGGUGAGUGAUGUCCCAGGAUUUAUCAGAUUGUUCUGUUUCUUGAGCAUCUUCAUCCAUCGUCUUAGAUUUCUCAGUAACAGCUUUCUCAUUAACAAGGUUCUCCAACUGUUUUAGAGUUGGGUGAGUGAUGUCCCAGGAUUUAUCAGAUUGUUCUGUUUCUUGAGCAUCUUCAUCCAUCGUCUUAGAUUUCUCAGUAACAGCUUUCUCAUUAACAAGGUUCUCCAACUGUUUUAGAGUUGGGUGAGUGAUGUCCCAGGAUUUAUCAGAUUGUUCUGUUUCUUGAGCAUCUUCAUCCAUCAUCUUAGAUUUCUCAGUAACAGCUUUCUCAUUAACAAGGUUCUCCAACUGUUUUAGAGUUGGGUGAGUGAUGUCCCAGGAUUUAUCAGAUUGUUCUGUUUCUUGAGCAUCUUCAUCCAUCGUCUUAGAUUUCUCAGUAACAGCUUUCUCAUUAACAAGGUACUUUGCACUGUUGCAGUUCCCAUCAUUGCACUGCCCCUCAUUGUUAACUUCUGCAUAACAGGGAUUUUCCAGCAUUAGAUAGCUAUUGAUCUCUAUAUUUCCCUGUUCCACACUAAUAUUCUGCAAUCCAUUUGAGGUAACUUGCUCUCUUUCAGAAAAUUUUUCACCAAAAUUCUCCUCAAUUUUCAGAAUGCUGCUCACAUUGGAUCUCUGCAAGCUAAUUGAGGGAAAUUCCCUGAAAUAAUUGGUGAUUCAGAAAGUAAGACAGUGCAGAAAAGCUUUAAUGUCUGUAGACUGUUUAAAUAAAUAAAGCACUCUACUCUUUUUAACAGCAUAAGCUUUUACAUUUAGUGCAACUCCACAGUUUAUCAAAUCUUAUGGCCAGAAAAAGAAAAUGUCAUGAAAACAAACGAAAAUGGAAAGAAUCCAUAGUUUAAGCAAAUCCCAAACACUGAGGCAGAUAGUUCAAUCAUUCCAAUGGAAUUUCCAUGCAACUACUCCCUCAACUUAGAAACUUAACUAUCAUUUUGUCCAAUGAAAAUAAUUCACAGUUGAGGCCCAUAAAUAAUAUUCUGCAAUGUCGUCAUGCAGAACUCAGUCAAACAAGAUCAUGUAGAUACACACAUCUUCCUGUGAGCCUAAAUUCAGCAGCCAAGUAAUAAAUGUUUGACCCCACAAACACAUUGCACCAAGAUUUUCAAGGGCACAAAUGCACAAAAACUGCAAAAGUAGCCAAAUCCUCUGAAGCAUUCAUAGAAUUCAUGACUCCUGCAAAACGACUAAAUUGGGAUAGAAUCAGGUAUACAACGGAAAAAUUGAUUUCUUUCCAUUAAAAACAAAGAAACAAAGUUUGAAAAAGGUUGUCAUUAUAUGCAUGCUUCCUUAGAGUCAAAUGGAGUCUGACAAAAACUACUUUAUGCAGCUCAUAUAACUUUUUCUUAUAAAGGUCCUUACACUAGAUUCCUCAAAGUCUUUCAUUAUCCAGAACUGAAAAGAAUGUCCAAUGUACAUGUGUUUUGUUACAUUAUACAAUUGUAAACUACAGAAUAUAGGUUUGAGCAUGAAACCUUUAUAAACAGAUAUCAUUUAACUUCAACGUCAUAGUACAAAUGCAACAGGUAGUCGUUAAGAAUCUAUGCUCAUUUCUAGAGCAGUAAGAAAAUAUAUUAGAAGCUGUGAUACCAGUAGUAGCAAGCUAAAUAAAUAUGCUAAGAAGUGGCAAGAAACAGAAGUUCACUGAUGAGACACUAAUGAGACGGUAAUAAAAAUAAGCACUGACAAUUCCCUAACAACUUAGUUAAAACUAUACAAGUUAAAAGCUCUAAUUUCAGUCAAACAUUUAAUUUCUUGGAUGAUUCUACAAAGUCAUCCUUCUUAGUCCACCAAACGACCUCCAUUCCCCACCGCCCCAAAGGGUGCCUGACCAAUUGGACACAAAGCCCAAGUGGAAUAACGGAUUACAACUUGCAAGAGUUUCCUUUCACGUAACAAAGACAUAACCUUUCCAACCCUGACCACAAGACAUGCAUUCACAAGCCAAAAUCCCUCCCUUUUGCUGAUCAUAGGAAGACCAUCACAUGCAAACAGUAAAUCAAAGGAGGGGAAAAAACAGACCAUAUCCUCUACAACAUGGCAAUGAGGAAAAGACCAAUUGAACCACCAGGAUUUAAGUGACAAUGAUGAAUGCAUCACCUUUGAGGUAAGGGUUUGGAGAUCUGCUCCAUGUUCUCUUUGGGUAGAUUAGGAAGUUAAUGAUAGGCAAAUUUAUUAGGUUUGAGGCCAUUGCUAUGUAGGUCUGGAAGGUGGGGGCGGGUACGGGAAUUCCUGUGUGUAUAAAUGUAAGCAAGUCGAACGCAGUAUUGAAUCCUCAGUGGACUCCUCUUAUAUUUGAGAAAAGCUCAAACUCAUUUGACCAAAAUGAAGUCCGAUGUAAAUAGGUAACUUAGCUCCCUGUAUUAAACUCCAAAUGGUUACCGGAGGCCACAGAACAGGUACAGUCACCAAUAUUAAAGCAAAAAGAUAACAGUGUUGCGAAAUCCUAAUUGGCCAUUAAAAGUGUAGAUCACAUUUCAAUACCAUACUAAAUGAAUUUCCAAUUUUUAUGGCACGUAACUAUGGACCACUGGACAACAGGACAAAUAUGACCAUUAGUCCAUGAAGUAGGGCAAGUGGAGAGAGGUAAUUACAUGGAAUAUCCUGAAAGAGCAUUUGAAAAUUAAAUUUUGAAAGUUAGUGACGACGUAAAGUAGGAGCUAGAUACUGCUGAUUGCAGGACAGGGAAAACAUAUGGGGAAAGCUGGUUGGCUAAAGAGAAAGGCUUGAGAAUUCUCACUCAGAUGAACCAGCUGCUGCCAGUCUAGUGAGAUUUAGACCUUGCCCUCAUAAGGUGCAACCUAUGAAUCUACUGGCUGUAGGCCAAUCGACUAUGAUGAAGAUGAAAAUAUUCAAGGUGUUUAUUUUAAAUAGGUAAUGAACUGCUCCAUAAGAAACCUUGAAUAUGAAAUAAAAUGUAAGACAACUUCUGCGUUCAACCAGCAAAAGGAAAAAAUGAAAAUAGAAAAAACAUUUUGAAGCAGUAGAAGAGGAAGAUUUUAUCAAGACGUCAUGAAGAAAAUUACAUAUCCAAUUUAAAUAAUGUAAUCAUCUAUAGCAUAAUGGGUCUUAUAUUUGUGCAUCCAUACAUCUCACUAAUGAUAAGUUAUUUUUUCUCAGGAUAUUAAUAAUAUUGUCUUAAAGUUGAAAGCAAGCAAGCUGAUCAAAUGUCCUCAGAAAAAUGUGACAUGCUCUCAUCAGAGCAAAAGAGGAUUGGCCGCUCAGAAAAUUCUCUGCAAUUCAAGUUCACUUCUGGUCAUGAGCAUCCUGGUUGAAAUCAAGACACUUCUCCUCUUCAUGCCUGCUUUGCAUAAGAAAGAUAUGUGCAAUUUAUACAUAUUAUCCAUUAUGUCAGUUACUCUUCGUAACCGAUCCACUUCCGACAAUAAAGAAACUGAGCAUGAAAUUGAAACUUUUACCUUAUAAAAUCCAAUAGACUGAAAAAAAAGUAACUGAUUACAGAGAAAAAUGAAGUAAAGACCUUCUAUCUCUGAAUUAGUAAUGAUCUGGAAGAUCCAGCAGAAUGGAGAAAAGAAAGGAACCAAGUGUUUAUGAAAGAAAACUACUAAGAAAAGAAAUCGCUAGAUGAAUGAUGCCACUUGUACCUUGAAUACCAGCUUGACAGAAUCAUGGCAUAAGGAAGCACGUUAUAAUGCUCAACCACUGUGGUAGUCAUCCAGCUAUGAGACAUCCAUUCAAACAGGGGGCCCUGCAAACUAAUUCAAAUGCAGAAGCACGUUUAUGGUACCAUCAUUGUUACCUGGGAAGAAAAAUGAUAAUUUAAAGCGUUUUCAAAUCUUAAGUGGCAUCCUUUAAUUUUCAAGCAGCUCCUGAGUUUUUAAAGACAACAAAUGAUUGAAAAUUCACUCAAAGAUCUGAUACAAGAUAACUUGAAAAGCUCAUUUAAGUUCUAUGGCCUACCUUGCAAUUUCUGAGCAAUCUACUGUGGAAAUAAUAAAUCCAAAAAGAUUUAUAAAAUGUUGUAAUCAUAGACAUAUAAUCAAAGGUGUUUUACAGAUGAGCUAAUUUGGUCCAGUAAAAUAUCUGGUUGUCUCCUUACUCCUACACCAACUGGGCAAAUUCUGAAGAAUCUACAAAGAGAGGACAAAAGUAUCUGAUCGUCUUCCUAAGAGUGUUCCAUAUGGCCAAAUUAGUACUCAACGCAAAUCCCAUGUGACUAAUUAGGUAUCCAUAACUUUCACAUUUUCCUAGAUGAAAUUAAGCAGCAACACUCUGUUGUCUAAUUCUGUGGGCAGUCAGUGUUUACACAGUCCAGCUUCCAGCUUCAAUGAGUCCUUCCAUCUGUUUCUUUUAUCCCAACCAAGUUUUUCUUCUCACCACUUCUCAAUCAACUGGAUAGACACCUACUUAAAAUGUCAAAAUUUCCUAUUCUUCUUGCUUUCCCUUGAUCUUUUAGUGCUUUACUUGCUGAGCUGCAAAGUAGCACAAUAGUUCCUGCAACAGCAAGUUCCCCUAUUUGCCAACAAAGCAGUCACCACUGCUGGCUCUUCUCUUCAACUCUUGCUUCUCUAACCUAUAAUCUUUCUUUAUUUCUUUCCUCACUGCCAGCAGCCAGAGUCCAGUAGCAACGAAACAAUGCUUUGCAGCCACAGUAGCAGGUACAGAGUCUAUCAUUUUAUUGAUAAGGACAGGAAAUGAAAAUGAACGAUCAGAAGAAGACGUUAGAGAGUAGUUUGAGGGUUAAAGAAAUGACUGAAUGGGAACUUUAAAAAUUGUGUACCAACACAACUGGUGGCACCUGUCUCCUCUAACAAUCCAGAACAUUUUGACUUUUUUAUGAGUGACUUUGCAGGCAAUUUUGGGCUUGCAGGUACUUCAAAAAUUGGAGAGUUUUUAGGUCAUCCUUAGGUCAUUUUACUUUACAUCUGCGAACUGAUUUUAUACCCCCUCGCAAACCAUGGAUUAUUAUUAUAUCAUCCUUUUAGGUCAAUUAAGCUUACAUAUGAGAACUGAUUUGACACCCCCUUGAGAUUGACAGAAGCCAUGAAACUAAAAAAGGGAUUGGCAGAAUCCCAUGAAAUUGAAAGAGACUUAGUGAGAACAGAACCAAAUAGCAGCACACAAUUCUCCUUUUCUGAGUCGACCAACAGCACUGAAACUUUUGAAAUCGGCCAUCCUUCUAUGCUUGGAAUGUCUUUCAGUGCAUCUAAAGACAAUGAGAUAUUGCAGGCAUCCAUGACUGCUUUCUCUGUCACUGAAAGUUGGUUUUCCAGAUCAUUCAACCCAACAGGAUCGGUUUGGAGUGUAAACUUCAUAUGAGGCAUUAGAGUUGGCUUUAAAGUUAAAGCCAACUUGCAAAAUGGCACAAAUUCUAAAAAGCACAACUCUGGAUCUUGCUUCCUAUAAUAGUAGUUGUAGAGUAGCCCAACAGCAUGCAUCUGUAGCAAAGCAGAAAUGGGUAAGAAACAUCAGUUAGUAAAACAACAAAAUCCAUAAGAUUCAUAACUUCUGUACCAAAUGCUUCAAUUCAAAAACAAAAUUUUGUCUCAACCCCAGUAGAAGGAAAAAAAGGAAAAACCAUAAGAUCCUACAUUUGGCUAAGGUAAGUAAAUGCAUACUGCACAAAAGAGCAAAGGACACGCCAUUGAUUUUGCAUACCGCAAUUCUUUCUAUUUAUGAGAAUUAAACACUACUACAAGAUAUGAUUAGAAUUGAGUAUACUUAAUAGAAGCAUCCAUGUCUUUUUGCAUGGUUAAGAUGUUAUUUAGAGGGACAAAAAAAGCAUGAUUGAUGAGCUAAGGUCAUGUGAAAAUACUUUGGCAACAAACUUCCAUGUUAUCUUUUGGCUUUCCCCGAUGCUACCAUAACAUCAUCUUUUGAUGAUAGAAGCCUAGAAAUGAACAAGAAUGGUUUUAAAUGUUCUGAAGAAAGUAAGCACCACCCUAAAAAUGAAAUAGAAAAUCCUUCUUUCUCAGAGAAAUGCUUCCAGCACUAAUAGAUAAAACGAAUAUGAAGUUAGCAAUACUGAUAACCAUGGAAAUCACUUCCAAUCUCUACAAUGAUUUACAGACCAGUUUUAAUUUUUUUCUUCAAAUCCUUGGUCAUUUAAGUACAAUAUAAUUGGAUAGCCCAGGACAAAUAUACUUGCAUCAUUGUAAAUAGUUAAAAAGAAUUUUAAAUUACAAGGUUUAGUUAAUACAAGCAGCUUUUCUAGAAUAGACGACUCCAAUCAUACCUUAUGCACAAUGCGCAAUUUGAUUCCAAGUAAUCUGCACUCUCAUUACAAUACAAAGGCAACUUUUAAACAGAAAACUACAGAUGUAAGUAAUUCCUUGAACACUUCUGCAGUUGGAAUCUCCGUCCUCUCCCUCCCUCCCUCUCUCCCAUAUAUUCUAGUCCUAGUGACUUUUCCUUGCAUGGCCAUGGCAGCCCUUAAUCUUUUAAUAGAGGGCAUCCUUCUUGACCUUUGGAUCCAGUUACAAGUGCUACUCCCACAUAUAUGUUUCUCAUAAAGUGCCUAGAACCACUAUCAUUGAGCUCCAAACCAUUUUCACACUUGGCUGUUCAUUCAGUAUCCUUCUUCAUCGUAUGGGUGUGUGGAUUCUCCUUUUUAAGUCACCAACAAAAUGGACAGACUUGUUGCCAAUUUUCCAGGAAAGCAGUCUAAUUAUAUGAAAUGCACAUGCUCAGGCCAAUGAAACAUUUUGAAAUUUGAGAACCAAAAUGACAAUUUUUAGAGGUUUCUAUGUCUGCACAUAGUAAUUUUCUUUUUCUUGUUAUUUAUUAUGAAAUGAGAAUGUCUAAAACAAAAACCAAAAACCACUGUAGACCGUGGUGCACAGAAUGCAUUACUGCCAAAUGUUUCACAAAUGUGUUCAUACCAUAAUCUAUAAGAUUCUACUACAAUUAAAAUAAAAUGAUAUCAGUACAAGUACUAACAAAGCAAAAUUAGUUCUAAAAGAAGUAUAAAAGAAAGCUUACAAAAAAAAAAAAUCAACUAGGGGACAGAGAAAGAACACCUGUCUAGAAACAGACUGCUGAUUGUCAAGUGAAGGAGGAUCCUUUCCAUAUAGCUUCGAAGGUAACAGUGGAUCAACCAAGCAAUCCAACAAUGCGCUUACUGCCUCCUCGAUGGGUGCCACGUCCGACAUGGAAUAAGCUAUCCUUAACUAAACAAAAUGACAAAAACUCAACAAUUAAUCCAAGAAUUAUAAGAUUAAAAGAUAUCCACAACAUUGCAAUUUCUUCUCUAAGAUUACAAUGUGAGAUGAAUAUAUCAUUUCAAUGUGUUACUUGCUUAAAUUUAGUUGUGUGGGUUUGCAUACAUAUGAAAAAACAAAAUAAUAUUCCCUAACAAAACAUGGAAAACAAUUUCCCAACCAACUAGCGUAAUCCUUAAUAUCUAUUUGCCCCACAACCAGGAAACAUGAAUUUCUUGUAUAUUGCAAAAUAUUCCUAACAUUUAUUAGUCCCCACAACCACGGAACUGGAAUUUCAGUAAUUUGCAAAAUAUAGUUCCAUUACCACAUAAAUUUGGCUGGAACAAUACCUGUUUCUAUAACAGGGGUAUCGAAUGGUUGGGAUUAUGCAACCAAUUAUUUUAGCUAUCAAGAUUUUUUUGAAUAUUAAAACACAUUUGGUGCACAGAAAAAAAAACAAAAACUUAAAAAAAUAAAAAUAAAAACUAAAAGCCGCAUGAACAACAUUUCCUUAAAAACAUUUCAUAAAAAAUCUUCAUCACCACGAAUUAUCAGCAUGCAUGCAAAGAAACUAACAAGUUUCCACAAAUUCAACCGCUAACUUAGGGUUCCUGAAAAACAUAGAAAAUUACCAAAUAAAAAACUUCAUAUAGGCCUUGAACUUCGGUAUACCUUGAAAAAAAAAUAAAAACAAACGCAAACACAAACACAAUAACGAGAACAAAAGCUAAAAAUUAAAACAAAGCAGAGAAAGAAUUUUACCGAUAAGAUUCCUUCACACCGUUCGACCCAGCUAACAAUCACUACUCACGGCGAACUCCACGGCGACCAAAGCUUUUUAUGGCACUAAGGAGAGAACCGGAGGCUAAAACGGCGCCGUUGAAAAUGCUAGCAAAGAACAGUGGACUGAAGUAGAGAGGAUUGGAAGAAGCAACUUGGGAAUUUGUGAAUUGGUACUGACAACAAGAAGAAGAAGAAGAAUCGAAAGAAAAGACAGAAAAGUCGGUGAGUGAAAUUGGGGAAGUGAAGGCGUUACGACUCACUUACCAUAACAAUGUGCUGUGCUGUGCUGUGCUGCGCUGCGAGUGGUUUGCUUGAAAAGGCGCGCACUUUGCUGACGUGGCGCAAGGUAAAGAAGGAGAGCUUCCGUUACUAAAUGAGAUUUAAAUGUAAUAUGCUAUGACUAGAUGCAUUCUAACCACUGAGCCAUUAGAAGGGAUUUAAGUUCCUCCUUAAACUGUAGAUGAGGGUUCAAAUCUCAUUUACAGUGAAAAAAAUAUAAGGAUUGUGGCAUAGUACUUCUUUGAUUUAGUUGGAUCCAUAUAUCUAUUAGAUCCCUAUCACACCCUCUUUAGAUUCCCCUCCCUCCUAAAUUAGGAUAGAGUAGGUUAUACAAAUGUAUUGUCCGAUUGAAGGAUAGAUAUAUAAUUUGCAAGAGAAUGUAAAUUAAUGGACAAAUGCAGGUAGAUAUAUAUAUAAAAGGAGAGUAACUAAAAUUUAAAUGUAAUAUGCUAUGAUUCGAUAUAUCACUCACGGGCCUAGUUGGAAAAGACAAUUGUAGAUAUUAAAACAACACGUGUCUGGUUGAAGGAUAGAUGUAAUGUGCAAGAGAACAUAAAUUAAUGAACAAAUGUAAAUAGAUAGAGUCUACAUAGAUUAAAAAAGUUGUGCUUUAAAAGGACCUAAAUCAGAUACCUAACAUUUCGCUUUUCUUGUGCCAAAAAAUGAAAGACUGAGUCUACAUUUUCACUUUUCUUGUGUUUUGAUAUACUAUAUGUGUGAGGACUCGUAUUUUAUUUUAUUUUAUUUAUUUAUUUUAUCGAUUUAUUCACUUAUUUCUUGGUUUACUCAAAAAUAGUUAUAUUCAUGAUUAAUUACCCAAGUGUUAGUUAGCUAUAUUAUCGUUACAAGAAUUUUUUAGAAAUUUCAUUUUAUCGCGCACAAGUCGGAAGUUCACAUUUUCGCGCGCACGGUUAAUUAAGGGACUUUAGAAAAUUAUUGUUGGACUCUCAUCUCACUCAAAUCUUGCACCUUUUCACUCCAAAUUCACUACACAAACUCACAACAACUUGGAAACUCACUUGGACUAGGAAGAGAGUAUCAUUUCCACGGUUUUCUUGGAGCUCUUGGUGAAUAAUAAUAGUGUUAAAGGAAGUGCAUUAGAGGUUUAAUACACAAGUGAAACAAACCCGAGAGGAAACGGGCACGAAACGCGCGCAUACGCGCACUAUUGAGAGUUGACUUUUGUGCCAAAAUUUGAACCACAACUACCAAGCUUCUCCAAGAAGCUUCCCAUAUUAGCACCAUCUCUCUCUUUUCUCUCUCAAAGCCGCCGAAACCCUCAAGGAAGAAGAAGGAGCAAACAUCAACCAAGAAGUAGUAAAUCAUCCAACCUUUGAAACUUGAUUCUAAUGAGUUAGAUUUCACUUGGAAGCUUGUAGGUUUAUGUGGGUAUCUUUAUUUUGUUGGAAAUCAUUUGAGUAGGCUCUAUGAAAUCUCACAAUAGACAUGUUGGACUGAUAUGAUGAUUUUUGGUGUUAUUUAUGUUGAUUAAGUGUUAAAUUAGUGGAUAUAAGUUGAAAAAGUGGAAAGAAAAUCAAAGGAAAGCUUGCAUAGGAAAGGGCCGAAUUUUGCCCUGUUUUUGCAAAGCACUUGGUGCAAUUGUUUUGUGAUCAAAUGACCUUGAUUUUGAUGUAGAUAUGUUGUAUAGGUUGUGUGGAAAAUUUUCACCAAAAAUCACUUGAUUUGGUUAGGUAAAAGUUGGAUUUUCGAAAUAACUUCAAAGCUGGAAAACGGGUAACAGGGGUUACCUGGCAGCGAACUUUGAACGAUCAUAACUCCUUGCUCUGAUGUCAAAAUCGAGUGUCGUUUAUGGCAUUUGAAACUAGACACUUCCAAUUUUCUAAUGGUAUAAAAUGUAUCCCCUGAUUCGAAUUGAGUGAGUCAUACCAGUUCUUCAAAGUUACCUAUUCUGUUUUAUUGUUAUGCUGGAGAGUCAGUGAUGUGCUAGCACGUGUUGUUUGAAUUUGAGCUAGCUAAGAACUGAAUUUCAAAAUGAUUUCUUCUGAUGAAAUGUAGACUUGGAAUGUAGUUUCCAACACCACCAACCAUGCCCAAUUCCAAGUUGAAUUGACUGAGUUAUGGCUAAAUUACAGAACUGCACCAGUGAUAGAAAACCCUAAUUUUGGCUAGCCGAAUAGCUUAGCUCGAAUGGGGACUUGUUAUUUUGAAACUUUUGGUGUCAAUCACCUACUAAAUAUAUGUUAGAUGUUUCUUAGACCUUUUCUUCAUAACUGAACCGUGUUUGAGAUGAUUUCAUUGGCCAAAGGUUCGAAAAAAGGAAAACGGAAGCAUAAGGCAGAAUUGCCUUGGAAAUUCCUAAAACUUUAGUGGUCUUGUUAAUUGAUUUUCCGUACGAAUUUUUGCAUGAAAUUUAACAGAAGAGUAGCCCUUAUAUGGUAGUAUAAUCAUACCAAAUUUGGUGCCAUUCCAAGUCCAUUUCGAUGCCCAACUGAAGUCCCAAAGUUUAUGUUUCAAAUCUGGAAAAUGGUCUUCAUUUUGAACCAAUUUUGAGCUGCUAUAUCUUGGCGCUCAAAACUCCGAUUCUUGUUCUGUUUGUUGUGUUUUAAACUUUAAUUGUAACUCUAAUUGACUUUCAAAUUUUAGAGGCUAGUUCACAUUCUGUGAAUUUUGCUGAAUUUUCAAAAUUUACCAAAAAUCAACUCCGAAUCUGUCUUUGAAGUGCAAGUCAGUAGUUUUAAACCGAAAUUUGAGUGUCUUUCAUUUAGAAUCAUGGAAAGAUAUCUUUUAGGAACUUUUAGUACUUUGAAAAUAAUUUCCAAUGGUACUGAAUUUUCCAAUUUUAGACUUACGGAGAGUGAGAUAUGAUUUUUCAAAGAAUGCACCUCAAAUCUGAAAUUUCUGAACUUAAAAGAAAUUGAGUUUUUAGAACUUACCAUUUCUCUUCGAUAUUAUAUGACCAUUUUACACUUGAUUUCAAAGAUGAAAAUCAGUUUUUUCUUGUAUUAUUAAACCCCACUUUUGAGUCUCGAUUUACGAAUAAUUAAGUCUCAUUUUCAUGAUAUUUUCUUAGAUUGUACUAGAGUACAGUCUUCCUUGAUAAUUGGGGGGUCUUAAGCGAUAGUGUGAUAAAUAAUUAUUGUUUACUCAGGUAUUCAAGAGGACCUUACAACGGACGAUUAAACACUUGAAUUGAGUACCACUCUCUCAUUUUAACUAGGUGAGUGUCAAGUGUGUGAAAAUGUGUUACGUAUUUAAUUGUUAUUGAAAAUUGAGUAUUUUGAAAAUGCUGAGUCGAGUAUGUACUUUACCGCACUCGUUCUCAUUAAAGUGAAGUGUACUUAAAUUAUUUGAAAUGAAUAUUUACGUAAAGUAUACUUGAAUUACUUGAAGUGACUUGUUAAGUGAAUAAGUGAAGUAUUUCAAUGAUUAUUUAUGCUACGGCUGCAUAAGUCAAUUGGAGUGAAUCUCCUCGACUCUUAGUGAUACUAGUGCGGGACGCCCAAAUCUCAUUCGGCCGACCUUGCAAUUCGAGCCGGCAUGGGUACGAUCGAGAAGCUUGGUGAGCCAUGAGAAACGUGUAUAAGCUUGAUCUAAUAGAGAGAUCUUGCUUGGCAUACUCGAGUAGUAUCACCUUAAAUAAAAGAUAGGCGGGCCCGGUACAGGAGUAUGUAAUGGUGAUCGGGGAACGAGUAAGUGAAGAUCUACGAAUUAUAACCUACCCGAUUGACGGACUGUCAACUCGUGGAGGUUCUUGAUCGUGCAAGUGGAAAAUAGCUCUUGAGAGCUCUUAUAUCCUUGAAUUAUUUCUAUUUACUUUUCUCGUCCGAAUUGUUAUUUACUUGAAUAUUACUGUUUAUUUGUUAAAUUGGAUUGUUACUUGGACAAUAUGCUUGCAUGUGUGUUUUUUGGCCUCACUGAGUAUUGGUUCAUUCCAUUAGUUUGUUUUUCUUAACAGGUGGAUUAGAAGAUUAUGAAAAUUCGACUAGGUUGUGUUUUUUAUUGGAAUCUUGGUUGUAAUUAUUUAGUCAACUUUUUAAUGGUUGUAUUUUGGGACUUGAUGUAUCUUUUGAGAACCUGAUGUAAGAUUUGGAUAUUCGGUUAAGGAAGCGACUUUUCUUCAUUUUAGACUUGUAUUAGUUUGGUAUGUACCGUUAAGUUUGAAUUGAAUUGUCUUGAGUCCUGGCGAGAGUUGGGCAGGCAUCCUGCGGAUACUCUUGGGUUCGCCCUUGGGAGAAAUGAGGGCAUCGCAGUUGGUAUCAGAUCGCUAGAUUAGAGAUCUAAUUGGGAGAUGUGUUAGGGACUUUAUCCUUAAGACUUGAGAUGAGAUGACUUAGUCAUACCCUAAGUUAUAUUUGAGUGAAUUCGCAAUUUUAAGUUUCUAAUCUAGAAAUUUGGGAUGUUUUGUAGGGAUGGAGAAUGGGAACGGAGGACAUGCUGCUGAUGGUAAUGGCCAUGCUUGUGAUAGCCCCACCUUACCCGUAACGAACGUGAACCAAAGGUUCGGCGGACCGCCUGCCCAUCUCUCGCCAGAACUAUUAAGACGAUUAUACAUAACUCAAAACGUGCCAGAAUACAGUAGCGUGUGCAAACAAAGCAAAAAUCAUGAAACAGAAAAUGAAAAUCAAAACGGAAAGUGAAUAGCGCCUGCCACGUCACCAUCCGACCGGGACCCAAUCGAAUACAAGUAACUUCAUAUAAUCCUUGAAAUGGACAUAUACAAACCAAACAGAACACAUGAACAUGAGUACACGCUUUUAUAAACCACAUUCGUAUUUUUACAAAUCAAAAGGGAACAUUUGAAUCCAAGUACAAUUAGGGUUUCCAACCAUUGAGGAGCUAUACAAAUAUUUAAACUAACUCAACUCAUGCUUCAAAAUCACAGUUCUAAAAAGUGAUUCCCUGUAAGGAAAACAAGGAGAACGGAACGGGGUGAGUUAGAAGUUCAAUGAGGUACUAAAAGUAAAACAGUGGAAAUCAUGAGAAAUCACUUUUAGGGCACGUAUACCCAUCAAGCAAGAGAAAUAAACGAACACCACAAUUUAAAGGAUACAGGUGGCCCAUAUGAGCCAAAUUCCCGUUGCAAUACUUGAUCCAGCCUCGUUGACUCUCCGUCAACGUUUAAUAACAUACUCAUGUCCGUAGACCCUUCUUACGCAAAAAUUCUGUUCAUCAAACAUACCCUUACCGGGCCUGAACGCCGAACAGGAACAGUAAUGGUAAUACUCGAGUAUACCGAAAUCAAGAGUCUCAAUAUCCAAAGAUUUCCCAGGAACAGGUAUCCAUGGAUUGUCAAUUACCUCGACCUAUGAUGAAACGGCUAUUAGGUGUGGCCUGCCAUUGCUCGUAGCUGCGCAAUCAUCAGUGCAGCAGCUGAAUCUGUAGCUUCUUCAGGAGUAGAAAGCAAUUCACUGAAACAGGAAGAAUCAAAAUCCAUGCCUUCUACAGUUACCUUAGCUAAAAAUCCACCUAAAAAACAGAAUAAAUGGGAUAAAACAUAUACUCCCUUUAGGAACACGAACACAAAAUGAUUUCUAUGCAUAGAAAUAUUGUUCAUUCUUGCCCUUGCUACCUCACCUUCAGAAACUGUAGAAAAGAAGAUCACAAUAUACAUAUACAUUCAUACGAUAAGCAAAUGAAGUCUUGGGUUCUUUCUUUGAAUUAUUUCCUUCUCGGCAACUUUGUUGUUGUGUUACUGAGGCCAAAGUGGCAGGCAGUAUGAAUCAGAGAUGGUAAAAAUUGGUUUAAUGAUGGCUUGAGAAUUACAUACAACUGUAGUAAGGCUUGAUCCUGGGAAAUUCUUCUUAUCAAUUGUUUUAUGCCAUAUUAAGUGGGUAGCAGCUCUUAUCAAAAGUAAAGAAGGCUAAGAGUAUAUAUUCAGACAGCCCUAAUAUUUAGAAAUUCAAGAUCAAUGUAGAUAUGUCUUUACCAUCUGGGGCUGACACGGAAUAAUUGACCAUCCAGCCAUUCACACCACAUAUACCAUUCAAAUCCUGCAAGGAGAAAUUUAGACAUUUAUCACACCAUCCAAAAAAGAAAACUAACAACCAAACAGUUCACAUGCCUAACACUAUCUUAAAAACAAAUCCAAUCAUAAAACAUGUACGAAGAAUACAGCAGGAGAAUUUCUUUGAAUCCUGCACCACUUGCCACCAAAAAUUGAAAAUGAAAAGGACACGAGGAAAAGUAGCAACAACAACAUGUCAACCACUAAUGGUUGUAUUCUGGGUGCUAGAUGACAGCCUGAGACUGACAAGGAGGAGCAUCAUGCAGUCUAACACAUGCUUAGAAAAAUAUGACACCAAAGUUAUGUAAUUAUUCUACUGACAAAAUAAACAAUUGUCUUACCUAAUAAGAAAAGCAUAGAAAAACACAUCAUUCCACAACCCCUUCACUAGUAUCUAGUUCGCAUUGUUUCCAAAAAGCACAGGAGUGAAAAGCUAAAAGAGAACUUCUUGAAUGAAAGACAUAAAAUAAACAGACAAAUCUAGUAUGUUCAUUUGCCUGAGUAGGAGACCGCAAAUUAAAGAUGGCAUCUGAUAUCCUCUUUGUGGUUCUGAGUUGAUUUAAGCGACGAUGGCCACCAUGUUGAUAACUCUCAUGCUGAUAUUUAUCUUUGAAGCAUGCAUCAUUACAACCAUCCAUGAUGGCAUCUAACAUAAGAGCCAAAGCAUCCUCAUUGCCUAGUACAGAACAAGAAAUGUGAACAUAGGACAUAGCUAUUCAAUUUCACCAAAUAAAUUAGUAAUAAAGUGAUAAAACUGCAGAAGAGCAAAAGGUUGUUAAGAACUUUUUCUUGUAAAGUUACCAUCAUGUCUUGCAUUUAUGGGCCUUUUAAAAGAAGCAAACUCAUUCUCCAUGUAUAGUUUUACUCGCAGAGAGGAGGCCAUCUUACCUAUUGAAUUAUCCAUGAAUCGAGUGAAACUAACUUUGGGCAUCUAACCCUUCAUCCAUUGCAUAAACAAAGAUUAACAGCUCAAGAAUCUUCUAACUAUAUCACAAGGUUAGCAUAAACCGUUGUAAAUCUUAACUAGGUAGCUUUGUUCAUAAAUCUAAUGCCAACUCAGUCUUAGUAUGCAGCCUACACCUAAGAAAGGAAAUAAAAAAUAUUCCUUGACAAUUCAAGAAUUUAUAAUCCAACAAAUUGCCAUGGAAAUUUAUAUCAUUUUGGAGGCUUGAAUUCUUAUUUUUCACCUCUUUUGUUCACUUGAAAAGCUGGCCCAUAUUCUAAAGAAGAAUGUGACAUGUUCAAUUCUUUUCUUAUGAGAACGGAGAGGAAAAUUUAACUAUGGUAGAGUUGGUAUGCUGAAGAAUCAAGAACCUAGCUUGGGAAAGGUGAAGCGGAAGAAGAGCUUAAAUGUAUUAAGUAUGAUACCAACUGAGGACCUUCAUUUACUGAAUGGAAGAUAUAUUUUCUAUUCCAUUCAAUUCUUGCACAAGGUAUCAGGCAUGUGCAGGGAUAAAGAAACUAAACAAGUCAAGAUAAGCACUAUACCCUCUAUGAUCUUCUGGAUGUUUUGAUCACAAGCUGCAAUCUCAUCAUGCAUGAGGCGAGCUUGAUGACACUGCCAAGACGAAAAGAUAAGUCAAUGAAUGUUCUAUACCAGUUUAGGAAUGGCUAGGACUGAAUAAAAUGUCCAAAUGGAACAUUUAAGAAGAUGAAGUCACUAUGUAAUUGGUUCAUAGUUGGAAUAUUCACAGCAAGGAAAUCAAGCUUGGAAUACUAAGACAAACCAAAUAUUUGCAGCAUUCAGAAGAUUGACUUUCCAAAAAAUGUACCAGAUAAUAUUAGAGAGAGAGGUUUUUAGUAUCCAGGACAAUCUUUCCGUCUCACAAGUUUUAGCACUAUUUUCUGCAAUACACAUGUUAUAGCUAACUCUGAUGCAUAUACAUCAUACAAAGCCCAACUUGUUAGAAAUACUUCCAUCUCUUUUAGCUACCAAUCGUAUCAGCAAACAGAAAUAUUUACUGAUCUCUUGCUUCUUGAUGGAACUUAAAAUAUUUUGAUGUACUUUUCCCUUCAAUCUACUUCAACUUUCUGGCAUUUCCUUAAAAAGAUAAGAUCAGGGUUCAUUCAAGGAGCUUUCAAUAGUCAACAUCAUCCACUCCGUCACACUUCUCACAAUAGCAUUCACACAAAUAAAAAUUGGAGAAAGAAAAGAUGAGAAUGAUUGACUUCCUUAUGCUGCUGGUCAGACAAUGAAGUCCGUCACUAUCUUUUGGAAAUAACCCUCUUCUAGGAAAUAACAUAUCCUCUUCAACUAAAGCAACUGUACUUUUACCCUAGCCAAGUCUAUCCAAGUGAUGUUAGCAAUGAAGUCCAUCACUAUCUUUUCGAAAUAAAGUUGCUUAAAAGAAUCUUUGGCAUGAAAAUCUUUAUCUAUCAGAGACAAGCACAAGGUACAGGCUAGACUACCAAAACCUUACCAUUUUUGCUCUUUUACUGAAUAAAUGUCCCAAAGCAGUCUGUGCCAGUGCUACGUCUUUUGUUACAAGUGUAGCCUGCUGAGUUUCAACACUUCUGGCAUUUGGCUCAAGACAAACUGGUGCAUAAUCUUCCCCUUGAGUCCAAUUUAGAUUGUAUGGGAGAGUCCAAUUGAUGCCAAUUCCAGAAUCCUUUCCUUCUCUACUAUUAAAUCUAUUUGAUUUUGGGCUACCAGCUGACUCCACCUGCAGACAAUUAAGUGUCACAAAAAGUAGAUCACUAACAAAUUCUCAUAGAAAAAGGACACUAGUUAGGCAAGCAGUAUCAAAAGCUGCAAUGAGGCAGUUAAACAUUGGUCCACUGAAAAUGAUGCUUUAGAACCACUAGAAGAAAAGUAAGUUGAUUGACUAAUAAAGAAAACCACACCAAACGAUUACUUUUGUGUCCUACAUAUUUUUUGUAACAACUUAAAAUAGCAUUUCCAGCAGUGCAUCUUCAUCAUCACACAAAAGCUGGAAAUAUGAGCACUGAAUGAUUAACCUCAUCUCUAAAAGGAAAUACUUUGAGCUUUUGAUAUCCGCAAUCAGCAAUUAUAAAUAGUCGGUAGAAGCUCAAUGGAAAGAGUUACCUUCAGGUUAUAGAGAAUAAAUUCACAGUGUACAUGUUCAGAGAAAUUUGACAUUAUAUACUUGUGCAGUUGAAAGAAAAAGGCUGGUCCUAAAUAUGCUUUCUAUUUUCAACAUAAUUUUCUCUAGACUACGGGAGAAGUCAAGAUCAAGAAGCCUCAGCUAAUAAUUCAGAAAGUGAAACAAUAAAACAAUCUAUCACGUAAUCUGAAAGACAAGAAGAAAAAAAGAAAAGGGUUAUUUUCUUUUGUAUAAAACCUUUAACCUUGAGGAGCUAAACAAUUCGAUUUACAUCCUGAAGUGGUUGGAAUCACUCUUGCAAAGGCUAAAAAUACAUCCUAGAGUUGGAUCUUCUAUUUUCAAAUUUUCAAGGAGACAAAAGAAGAUGAAAAAUACUUCAGCCAAACUCAAUGGUGGACCAAAAAGAUGGACACUCAUGUCAUAGCAUCCAUGACCAAAAAAAGCAUUGACGAAGGAUUGUAAAGAAUAGGAUACCAGAGGAAUAUAAAGAAGGUGGGGCUUGUACCAUAUGGGAAUUGUCCUAUAUUACACAUGUAUUUAGUGAUGAAAAUGGUACCUGGGUAGUCUACUAGAUGAUGACUGUUCCUCCUCCCAAAGCAUAUAACCAGAAAAAAAACAAAAAGAAGAAAACCUACUGUUUAUCAUUCAGUACCACUGCAAAUAAAGUUCACCAUGCUGCUUUCACAACACAGUUAAUCUUCCCUGUUUAUGAUGCGGUCCCUACUCACUAACAACUGAGGUCAUCUUUCAAAAUAAUAGUCUGCACGGACUACAAAUCUCUAAGGCACGUUUGUUUAAGCAAUGCAUCUUCUGAAUGGGCAAGAUACUUGCAGUUGUAUACUGUACUUCUUUUGGCACAAAGUUAAUUUUGUACAUGCAGCAAUAAUAGUGUAUGAACAAGAGAAGGUCGAGAUGUCAUGGCGCAGCCUCAUGGUUUCACAAUCACACUUCUGGUUCUUGUUGCAACUACUAGGUAUAUCUCCCCAGUUUGCACAUGCAAUUGAUAAAUUUCCAAUAAUCAAGUUCACUUAUCAUGUUGAACAAGCAUCUCUUCACACUGCUUUAUGUGCAUGUGUAUAUAGGUGAUUGUGUAGCUAAACUUUCACACAGAUAAACAUAUUCUCAGACACCAAAACCAAUUACCCUAGCCCACAAAAGAACCGACCCUGCCACGGGCAAUUGUUAAGCAUAAGAAGUUCCUCUAGCAUCCUUGUAAUCAAUCUUCUUUUCUCAAUUUAAUCUAGGUAAAGAAAAACCAUGAUAAGGUAAUUACUAAGGUGCUAAACUGUAUUACAAAUGCCGCCAUUAAAAGUAUCCAAUCGGCAUAUAAAUCUGCAUCUAUUCACUCCAGGAGUAGUUGCGCACUUCUCAGCUUAAUGGAAAUGUCCAUGCUUUACUUCAUAAAGCUUGUCAGCAAGUAAAACCCCGAUGCAAGAUGCAAAUUCAAAUUGCUAUAUUAGGUUGGUAAGCUAAUUGUAAAGAGACAACAAUGAUUUUCCAGAACCUCUAAUCUCAGACUAAAACAAUCCCAGAACUCAUACUGCUGCCUUUGAAGUAAUAGGAGCAUCUAAACUGCUACAACACCAGAGCAAAAAUCAAAUAUCACAAAAUCUCCUCAAAGAUUAUUAAAUGUUAAUAACUAGAGCUUGCAAAUAAUUGGUACAAGCUACUUAAAUACAAUCUUUAACAGGACACACACAAUUAAUUGAAGUUUAUUUGAUUUAAGCGAAGACUUUCCUACUUCUUAGUAUCAUCGAACUCAGACUUCCACUGGCCACUUUAAUUCGAAUAUCAACAAAUGAGGGUGCAUAUGAACCUAUAUAGCUUAACUAACAAGAAACAUAUUACUUGCAAAGUUUUUUACCUUUAUUGUAAGUCAGAAUAUUAAAGUCACUUACAUUGACACCUCCACCUACAGAAGCACAUGCACCACUCUUUACAGGAAUCUUCCUUUUCUGGUGAUGGUAAACUCGCAUAGGUGAAUCUGCACUCUUAUUCUUGUCCCCGUUUUUGGUAAAUCUCAUUAUAACUCCACCAUCAUCCGUCUGCUGCCUUUUUCUGGGAAGGAAGCAGCUUAUCUGGAGUUCAUUAGUAGGACCCUGUUUUGAAUCUUCAGAAUCCUCAUUGUUCAUGGUAUCCAAAGAUUUAUCAAGCUUUUCUGUGUCUUUGAUUACUUUCUUUAUCUCCUUACUAUUGUAUGCAUCAAUUGUAUGUUUGCCAAUAGAAUUUCCACCGAUAGAGUCUCUCAACCCUUCAACAGUUGAGUGAGUGAGUUUACCUGUAUCAGAGUUUUUAGGGCCUUCAACUUUAUUCUCCACCCUCUUAGCAUUGUCACUUCCACUGUUCUCUUCACCCAUACAAUCUAUACGAACACAAUUUUCUGACUCUUUCACAGUUGAGUGACUGAUGUCCGAUAAUGCAUCAAGGCUUCCUGUUUCUUUAACUUCUGUCUCUGCCCUCUUGGAGUUGUCAGUACCAGCUGUGUCUUCACCACUACAAUUCUCCAACUCUUUCACAGUUGUGUGAUUAAUGUCCAAGAAUUUAUCUGAUUGUUCUAGUUCCUGAGCUUCUUCAGUCUCCAUCUUAAAUUUGUCAGUAGCAACUGUCGCAUUACCUCUAAAUUGCGCAUUUUUGCAGUUUCCGUCCAGUUUUUCUGCUUCUUGAACUUCUUUAUCUGCCCUCUUGGAGUUCUCUGCACUAAUUGUGUCUUUACCACUACAAUUUGCAUCAAUGCAGUUCUCCAACUGUUUUAGAGUUGGGUGAGUGAUGUCCCAGGAUUUAUCAGAUUGUUCUGUUUCUUGAGCAUCUUCAUCCAUCGUCUUAGAUUUCUCAGUAACAGCUUUCUCAUUAACAAGGUUCUCCAACUGUUUUAGAGUUGGGUGAGUGAUGUCCCAGGAUUUAUCAGAUUGUUCUGUUUCUUGAGCAUCUUCAUCCAUCGUCUUAGAUUUCUCAGUAACAGCUUUCUCAUUAACAAGGUUCUCCAACUGUUUUAGAGUUGGGUGAGUGAUGUCCCAGGAUUUAUCAGAUUGUUCUGUUUCUUGAGCAUCUUCAUCCAUCGUCUUAGAUUUCUCAGUAACAGCUUUCUCAUUAACAAGGUUCUCCAACUGUUUUAGAGUUGGGUGAGUGAUGUCCCAGGAUUUAUCAGAUUGUUCUGUUUCUUGAGCAUCUUCAUCCAUCGUCUUAGAUUUCUCAGUAACAGCUUUCUCAUUAACAAGGUGCUUUGCACUGUUGCAGUUCCCAUCAUUGCACUGCCCCUCAAUGUUAACUUCUGCAUAACAGGGAUUUUCCAGCAUUAGAUAGCUAUUGAUCUCUAUAUUUCCCUGUUCCACAC